UUUUUUUUUUUUUUUUUUUUUUUUUUUUUUUUUUUUUUUUUUUUUCU
rnacentral:ribozyme from 1 species